UAAUUCUAGAUGCACUUUCCAGUACAUCUACUAUGUUACGACUUAUUUCAUAAAUUAAUGAAAGCGACGGGCGAUAUGUACAUAAUUUAGAGCUACUAUCAUAUAGGCUUGUUAAACCCAUAUUACUAUCAAAUCCUCUUUCCUAGAUUCAACUUACUAAUUCUUUCCAUCUAAAUAAAAUUUAUUGUAACCCAUUUAAACUUAUUUAUGUGCUGCACCUUGAUCUAAUUUUUUUAACAAAUUAAUUUUAAUAUUUAUUUCUCUAAAAAUUAUCUAAUAAUGAUGGUAUACAAACUAAAAAUAAGUAAGAUAUUACGAGGUGUAUCGAUUAAUUUUAAACAGGUUCCUCUGACAAGACUAAAUUACCGCCAAAUUCUUAAAGUUUUAAGUUAUAUCUAUUAAUAAUUCAAUAUUCAUUUAUUAACCUUAAUAUAAUAGGGUAUCUAAUCCUAGUUUACCUUUAAAGCUUAUUAGCUUCCUUUAAAUAUUUAUAAUUUACAAAAUAACAAAAUUUCACCUAUUAAAACUUAUAAACUUACAUUUAUACAUUUAAAGUAACUUAAAUAUUUAUAUCUUUACUCAACCAUUUAAGUCUAACCGCGAAUGCUGGCACAAAUAUUUAUCAGAUUUAUUAACUAUUACUUACUGGCUCAUAUUCUCAUAUAUCUUACCAAACUCUUACACUGAGAAUUAAAAUAAUUAUAAUUUUAAUUAUACUCAUUCUAUCACUAAUAUAAAAUUAGUUUCUAUAACAAACUAAUUAUUUUCAUGUGAUCUUAAUAAUAUAACAAAGAUUUAAGCCAGAAUCAAACAUUAC
rnacentral:rRNA from 1 species